AAGAAAAGGGUGGGGGAAGAAUGAGGAAAAAGUUGUCACAAAGCGUUUUUUGACUUAGUCUCAAAAUCAUGCACUUCAUUCUAUUUUCUAGAAGCAAGGCACUAAAUCUAGCCCGCACCCAAGGGUAAGGGCAUGAAUUAAAUUCUACCUGUUGAAGGGGGGAGUAACAAAGAAUCCAUGGACAUGAUUUUAAGCCAUCACAAUCUGUUGGGAGUCCUAACUGCAAGUAACAGAAAAUCCAUCUCAAAAUGGAUUAAACAGCAAUGGGGACUCAUUGGCUCCCAUAAUGAAAAAGCCCUGCAGGUAGGUAAACUUGGUGAAUACUUGUUCAGAGCUCUGUUUUCUCUGUCCUCUUGUCUGUGUCAAGUCAUCCGUGGCCAGGUUCCUAGCAAAAAUGACUGCAACCACUCUAAGGCCUCCUCCAUGCACAUAGCACAUUCCAGAAUAGGCUAGCUUGGCUCUGACUCCGCACCCCAGCAGAGUUCUGAGAUUCACUCUAAUUGGAUGGGCUUAGGUCACGUGCUUACCAUCCCCAAGCCGGGGCCUCAAAUGCCUUGACUGGAUCCACAGUAGAUCCCAAUCACAUGAUUUUCAUCACAGUAUUUAUGUGUACAUUCUGAAAUGUACAUAAUAACUAGUCAAUCAACUUAAAACAAUGCUCCUGGAAUUAGAUGCAAUACUCGUACUAGACUGCAUCAUAACAUUUAGCCAAAUAACAUAAAUUUAGUUUUAGUUAAAACUGAACAUUUCUGAUCAGUACACCAUGUCUGUCAAUAGAAUAAGUUUACCCUUUUUUUGUGAAAAAUACUGUGAGAACAAAACCCAAAAGUUGAGUAUGUUGUGAAUUUCCACAUUAAGAACCAUUAAAAUUAUUUUUUAUCAUCUUUACUCUUCCCAGAAAUGGCAGUGUGUUCUGUCCAUGUUUACUUUUGUUAAUAAAAGUGUUGAAAAAAAGACUGUAAAAUUCACCAUUAGCCCUACACAUAGCAUGCUCUUGUUCAAAGGAUGUGGAUUCGAGUGUGAGAAAGACACGGACAGACACAAUUUUCAGGCACCACUCAGCAAUAUGCUUCAUAGGAUAAGAUGUCGCUACACCAGCUGGUACCCAGAUCCUGAUAUUUGGUCAUAUUCUAUUGUAUACUGCCUGGUCCAGUCCACGAUAACAGGACGAAAGAGGCCACAGCAUCGAAAUUCAAAGAAGUCUAUAAUAUUUCUUACACAUCCAUGGCUAAAAACAGCACCCCAAAAAGAAAACACGUCAGUC
rnacentral:lncRNA from 1 species